rnacentral:pre_miRNA from 1 species
UCUUAUGGAUGAACAGGGAAAAUGGUUUCUUGAGAUGGAAUCUACCCCGGUGAAGAUGCUGUGAA